rnacentral:rRNA from 1 species
GAUGAACGCUAGCGGGAGGCUUAACACAUGCAAGUCGAGGGGCAGCACGAGGUAGCAAUACUUUGGUGGCGACCGGCGCACGGGUGAGUAACGCGUAUGUAACCUACCUUGUACAGGGGGAUAACCCGGAGAAAUUCGGACUAAUACCCCAUAAUGAUAUUGAGAGGCAUCUUUUGAUAUUUAAAGUUUCGACGGUACAAGAUGGGCAUGCGUAACAUUAGCUAGUUGGUAGGGUAACGGCCUACCAAGGCUACGAUGUUUAGGGGUCCUGAGAGGGUGAUCCCCCACAUUGGUACUGAGACACGGACCAAACUCCUACGGGAGGCAGCAGUGAGGAAUAUUGGUCAAUGGGCGUAAGCCUGAACCAGCCAUCCCGCGUGCAGGAAGACGGCGCUAUGCGUUGUAAACUGCUUUUCCAGGGGAAGAAAACCUUCGACGUGUCGAAGCUUGCCGGUACCUUGGGAAUAAGCAUCGGCUAACUCCGUG